UACGGAGGGUGCAAGCGUUAAUCGGAAUUAUUGGGCGUAAAGAGCUUGUAGGCGGUUUGUCGCGUCUGCUGUGAAAUUUCGGGGCUCAACCCCGAACUUGCAGUGGGUACGGGCAGACUAGAGUGUGGUAGGGGAGACUGGAAUUCCUGGUGUAGCGGUGAAAUGCGCAGAUAUCAGGAGGAACACCGAUGGCGAAGGCAGGUCUCUGGGCCAUAACUGACGCUGAGAAGCGAAAGCAUGGGGAGCGAACAGG
rnacentral:rRNA from 1 species